rnacentral:rRNA from 1 species
GGACCCGCACAAGUAGUGGAGCAUGUGGUUUAAUUCGAAGAUACGCGCAGAACCUUACCAACACUUGACAUGUUCGUCGCGACUCUAAGAGAUUAGAGUUUUCGGUUCGGCCGGACGAAACACAGGUGCUGCAUGGCUGUCGUCAGCUCGUGUCGUGAGAUGUUGGGUUAAGUCCCGCAACGAGCGCAACCCUCACUUUUAGUUGCCAUCAUUUAGUUGGGCACUCUGAAAGAACUGCCAGUGAUAAGCUGGAGGAAGGUGGGGAUGACGUCAAGUCCUCAUGGCCCUUACGUGUUGGGCUACACACGUGCUACAAUGGCACUUACAAUGGGAUGCAAAGAGGUGACUCUAAGCUAAUCCCAAAAAUGUGUCUCAGUUCGGAUUGUCGUCUGCAACUCGACGGCAUGAAGUCGGAAUCGCUAGUAAUCGC